GUGAAAAAAUGUUAGAAAUCUUGCUAAUAAGGUAUAAUGUUCACUUCUAACUUGAAAAAAAAAAAAUCUCUAACUCUAAGUAACAUUUAAUUAUAAAAUAACACUUUGUAGGUACAAUUAGUCAUUCCACGUCCCAAGCUUUUAAAAGAAGUAAACUUUCAGAUUACUAUAAUUUUACUUUCCUAUUUCUGCCAUUACCACAAAAGAAGAAAACUUGGAGAGAAGAGACUGCUUUGGCAAGAAUAUCAGGUGGGGUCAAAGGACACAGCCCAGUGUGGACGACUUGCAACAGCAAAUAAGUGGACCAGCUCAAUGUAGUAUCAGUGCAAUCAGCUAAUGGAGGAGGAUGAUGCAUCUGUUGUGAAAAUAUGUCAAAAACCUCGCAUUUGAACUAAAUACAGGUGAAAUACUACUUCAUGUUAUUCCCAUGCAAAAUAGCUUGAUGAAAAACAGUAGCAAAAUAAUA
rnacentral:lncRNA from 1 species